rfam:Desulfotomaculum kuznetsovii DSM 6115, complete genome.
GGUCAAGCUGGUAAGGGCAUACGGUGGAUGCCUGGGCGCUUUGGGCCGAUGAAGGACGUGGCAAGCUGCGAAAAGCCACGGGGAGCCGCAAGCAGGCGUAGAUCCGUGGAUCUCCGAAUGGGGUAACCCGGCGGGGGUGAACCCCCGUCAUCCCGUACUGAACACAUAGGUACGGGAGGGGCACCCGGGGAACUGAAACAUCUUAGUACCCGGAGGAAAAGAAAGCAAAAGCGAUCCCCGUAGUAGCGGCGAGCGAAGAGGGGACAGCCUAAACCCGGCACUCAACUGAGUGUUUAUGUUAUGCAUACAACAAACUAUUGCAUCCGGGAAGUGAAAGUUGGGAUAAGAGCAUAGCGUAAACACCGAGUUGAGUGCCGGGGGUUGCGGGACUCCCGUUGACGUACUGCGGAACUUAGCCGAAGCGGGCUGGAAAGCCCCGCCGCAGAAGGUAAAAGCCCUGUAGGCGAAAAGGGAAGCGGUGCGGGGAGGAUCCCAAGUACCGCGGGGCACGUGGAAUCCUGCGGGAAUCAGGGAGGACCACCUUCCAAGGCUAAAUACCCAAAGCGACCGAUAGUGGACCAGUACCGUGAGGGAAAGGUGAAAAGCACCCCGGGAGGGGAGUGAAAUAGGACCUGAAACCGUAUGCCUACAAGCAGUCGGAGCGCGGGAAACUGCGUGACGGCGUACUUUUUGUAGAACGGACCGGCGAGUUACGUUCAGCGGGCGAGGUUAAGGCUGGGAAGGCCGGAGCCGUAGCGAAAGCGAGUCUGAAGAGGGCGAUAAGUCCGCUGGAGUAGACCCGAAACCGGGUGAGCUACCCAUGUCCAGAGUGAAGCGUAAGUAAAGUUACGUGGAGGCUCGAACCAACCGUCGUUGAAAAGGCGGUGGAUGAGGUGUGGGUAGGGGUGAAAUGCCAAUCGAACCCGGAGAUAGCUGGUUCUCCCCGAAAUAGCUUUAGGGCUAGCCUCAUACGAGAGUACCGGAGGUAGAGCACUGACUGGGCUAGGGGCCUUCGCGGGUUACCGAACCCAAUCAAACUACGAAUGCCGGUUACUUGAUGUAUGGGAGUCAGACUACGAGUGCUAAGAUCCGUAGUCGAGAGGGGAACAGCCCGGACCGCCGGCUAAGGUCCCGAAGCGGUGCUAAGUGGGGAAGGAUGUGGGGCUGCGAAGACAACCAGGAUGUUGGCUUAGAAGCAGCCAUCAUUCAAAGAGUGCGUAAUAGCUCACUGGUCAAGUGGCCCUGCGCCGAAAAUGAAACGGGGCUCAAGCACCGCACCGAAGCCGCGGAUUUUGGAGGUUGGAGGCCAGAGGUUGGAAGUGGGAAUUUAAAGAUCCAACAUCUAACUUCCGGCCUCCAACCUCCAAGAUGGUAGGGGAGCGUUCCCACCGGGUAGAAGUCACACUGGGAGGUGUGGUGGACUGGUGGGAAGUGAGAAUGCCGGUAUAAGUAAGCGAAAAGGCAGGUGAGAAUCCUGCCCGCCGAAAGCCUAAGGGUUCCUGGGGAAGGCUCGUCCGCCCAGGGUAAGCCGGGGCCUAAGCCGAGGCCGAAAGGCGUAGGUGAUGGGGAAUCGGUUGACAAUCCGAUGCCACCGGUAGGCCGAUUGAGGAUGGGGUGACGCAGGAGGGUAGGCCAAGCGCGCGGCUGGAAAGGUGCGUCCAAGCCGGUAGGGUGUGGGGCAGGCAAAUCCGUCCCACGGUAAGCCCGAGAGGUGAUGGGGAGGGAAAUGUAAGUACCGAAGUGGCUGAACCCAAACUGCCGAGAAAAACCUCUAACGAGGAAUACCGGUGCCCGUACCGCAAACCGACACAGGUAGGCGAGGAGAGAAUCCUCAGGCGCGCGAGAGAACCCUCGUUAAGGAACUCGGCAAACUGACCCCGUAACUUCGGGAGAAGGGGUGCCCCGGUAGCGUGAAGGUAUGAACUGCUGGAGCGCGAGGGGGCCGCAGAGAAGAGGCCCAAGCGACUGUUUACCAAAAACACAGGUCCCUGCGAAAUCGAAAGAUGAAGUAUAGGGGCUGACGCCUGCCCGGUGCUGGAAGGUUAAGGGGAAGGGUUAUCCGAGAGGAGAAGCUCUGAACCGAAGCCCCAGUAAACGGCGGCCGUAACUAUAACGGUCCUAAGGUAGCGAAAUUCCUUGUCGGGUAAGUUCCGACCCGCACGAAAGGCGUAACGACUUGGGCGCUGUCUCAACGAGGGGCUCGGCGAACUUGUAGUACCCGUGAAGAUGCGGGUUACCUGCGACGGGACAGAAAGACCCCGUGGAGCUUUACUGCAGCCUGACAUUGGACUUCGGUAUUGCAUGUACAGGAUAGGUGGGAGGCAGGGAAGCCGGGGCGCCAGCCUUGGUGGAGCCGACCUUGGGAUACCACCCUUGUGGUAUUGGAGUUCUAACAGGGUACCGUGGAGCCGGUACAUGGACAGUGUCAGGUGGGCAGUUUGACUGGGGCGGUCGCCUCCUAAAAGGUAACGGAGGCGCCCAAAGGUUCCCUCAGCGCGGUUGGAAAUCGCGCGUAAGAGUGCAAAGGCAGAAGGGAGCUUGACAGCGAGACUGACUGGUCGAGCUGGGACGAAAGUCGGGCUUAGUGAUCCGGCGGUAGCGAGUGGAAGCGCCGUCGCUCAACGGAUAAAAGCUACCCCGGGGAUAACAGGCUUAUCUCCCCCAAGAGUUCACAUCGACGGGGAGGUUUGGCACCUCGAUGUCGGCUCAUCGCAUCCUGGGGCUGGAGUAGGUCCCAAGGGUUGGGCUGUUCGCCCAUUAAAGCGGUACGUGAGCUGGGUUCAGAACGUCGUGAGACAGUUCGGUCCCUAUCCGUCGCAGGCGCAGGAAACUUGAGAGGAGCUGUCCCUAGUACGAGAGGACCGGGAUGGACAGACCGCUGGCGUACCAGUUGUCCCGCCAGGGGCAGCGCUGGGUACCCAAGUCUGGUGGGGAUAAGCGCUGAAAGCAUCUAAGCGCGAAGCCCUCCUCAAGAUAAGGUUUCCCAUGGAGUCAAUCCAGUAAGACCCCUGGAAGACUACCAGGUAGAUAGGCCGGGCGUGUAAGCCGGGUAACCGGUUGAGCGGACCGGUACUAAUAGGUCGAGGGCUUGACCAG